UAACUAUAUAAUACAUCUCCUAUGAACAUAAAAGUAAUUUAACACCCAUUUUUUAAGAUGGCAGAUUAAAAGUCUCAAAUAAAACCUAUAUUUUUUUAUUUUUCUUCCCAUUUUAUCCUCCUCUCCUUGCAUCCCAUUUCUUUCAAUUAGGCUUUAUUCAUACCAGCAUCGAUUCAAUUUUCAUUUUAAAUGCAAUUGAAGAUGUGGUGUUCAGGGACCGUCGGACUUCCCUUUCAAUAUUGCACUCCUGCAUUCAAUUUCGUUUUACGUUUUCGAUUUCACCCUAUAUAGCCCCCCCGCAACCCUUUACGCAAACAAGGUAUGACAGAUUCUUCAGUUUGUUAUAUUCAGCUUUCGUGGGGUUCCGGUUAGUCGUACAGUCGUCGGAACACUGGUAACCUUGGUGAUCUCUGCAUCCCAUCACAGGUAACCUUAAAUUCAUUCAUUUUAUGUAUGUGUUUGGUUGUGCACUGACGAUUGUUACCAACCACUACGGCCAGAGAAACCUUAGGCUUGUUAUGACAAGAAAUACCAGGUAUGGGUUUGUCUUUUUUAUUGAGUCUCAUUAUAAAAGACGGCGGAUUAGGGAUAUGGUUCUAAUUGUACAGGUAUGUUGCUACUGGAUUUAAGGAUUUUGUAUAAAUUAUAUAAUAUAACAGGUUUUUAAUGAUAUUUUUAGGGAAAUUUGAUGAUGACCGUGAAGAACUGUUGUCAGCUGCAAAUUAUGCUCGUAAUGCUAGCUAUCUAGCAUGUUCAGAGGAAUCCGUUAAUGAAUUUGGUUAAUGAAUUUGAAGAAGGAAAAAUUACCGAAAAUAUACCGCUUCAAGAUACUUUUGAUGAUUCAGCUUAUGAUACAUUUCACCAUGAUGAUUUCAGUGAGCCUAGAAAGAAGGAUAGGAGGGAAGUUGAAAUAGAGCUUCAUGUUGAUCUGGUACAUGACUACUUUGCUCCAUAGUACGUACCAACAUGACCUCAUAUUCUAUAGCUCAGAUGUGGGCCGUAUACAGAAUGUAGGCUUUCUACAAGACCAACUGCUAUACAAUCUAAGGGUCUAACGUUAGUAUCAGAAGUUGUGAUAAAAAAGGACGAAUAAUGUCAAACGAGACCCAAAACAUUUUAUUAUCUCAUGCUUUCAGCCUGGUAUAACCUUGCUUAUAAAGAAGCUUCAACAUAAAUACACGGUUUUUUUUUUGUGUCUCUCGUUUUGAUGAAGAUCUUAGGAAGCCUAAUCGAAGGCAAACAAUUAGAAAACAAAAGAGAAAAUUUAUAAGAUGGGAAGAAGAAACAUGGAAAUAAAACAAGCAUUACCUGAUGGUCAGGUCAAAGCUAAUUACAUGGUUGCACCAUUUGCACAAGACUUAGAUGAAAAAAAUGAAGAUACAAGCUCGCACUCUUUCAGGACAAUAUUAGUUGUUUAGACCAAAAUUUGCCGAUCCGAUCCUACUGGAAGCUCACUGGAGCGUCUUGAUGGCUGCAAGGCGGUAUGGCUGUCUUUCAGAUCCUUCUGUCCUAAAACUUUUCAAACUUUUAUAUUAGCACAUAAUGCAUAGGAUAUGAUUAUACUACUAAAUGGGUCAAAAGAGUGCCCUCUGUUUUUUUUAUCAUCAAUAUGUUUCGCUAUUA